AAGUCGUAACAAGGUAACCGUAGGUGAACCUGCGGUUGGAUCAUUAAAAAAUCUAAACUGUGUAUUGGCUGUGCCGUGCGGGGCACGUUUGUAUUAGGCGCGGGAUGGCUUAUAUUAUAAGCCAGCUCAGCAGCCGCUUACGUGUUUUUGCAUACACAUGCCAUUAUACACAACCUACACCGUGCACACUGAACAACCAAUGUUGGUUGGUUUGCUGCUAUUAGUAAUAAUAGUUGGCACCAGCCAACAGCUAUAACAAACCCCCAAUUGUAGUUAAACAUAUUGUCUGAACUCUUUUUGUAAAAGCAGCAAAGGCCAUAACAUCUAUUAUUGUUGUUGUGAGCUUGCGUUGUGAAUAAUACAAAACAACUUUUGACAACGGAUCUCUUGGCUCUC
rnacentral:misc_RNA from 1 species